GGGUGUGCGCCGGAGUUGGAGAGCCGGGCCGCGCUGUAAACGCGGCGUCCCUGACUGAGGGGGUUCGAAUCCCUCCACACCCA
rnacentral:tRNA from 1 species